AUAUUUACCAAUUGAAUAAAGUAUAUUUUGAAAUAAAAAAUAAAAAAAGUUCUCCCAGGACGAGGCUAUCCCAUUGCACUUCGGGUGUGCUGACGCCUGCGAUGUCCCCAAAUGCGGGAUACUUGACUGCAAAAUUUGUGGUAGUGGGGGACUGCGUUCGCGCUCUCCCCUG